GAUGAACGCUAGCGGCAGGCCUAACACAUGCAAGUCGAGGGGCAGCACGUCUUCGGAUGGUGGCGACCGGCGCACGGGUGCGUAACGCGUAUGCAACCUACCUCUUACAGUGGGGAUAGCCCAGAGAAAUUUGGAUUAAUACCGCAUAGUAUACAGAUUCAGCAUUGGGACUGUAUUAAACAUUUAUGGGUAAGAGAUGGGCAUGCGUUCUAUUAGUUAGUUGGAGUGGUAACGGCACCCCAAGACAGCGAUAGAUAGGGGCCCUGAGAGGGGGAUCCCCCACACUGGUACUGAGACACGGACCAGACUCCUACGGGAGGCAGCAG
rnacentral:rRNA from 1 species